GAUGAACGCUGGCGGCGUGCCUAAUACAUGCAAGUCGAGCGAACAGACGAGGAGCUUGCUCCUCUGACGUUAGCGGCGGACGGGUGAGUAACACGUGGAUAACCUACCUAUAAGACGGGGAUAACUUCGGGAAACCGGAGCUAAUACCGGAUAAUAUAUUGAACCGCAUGGUUCAAUAGUGAAAGACGGUUUUGCUGUCACUUAUAGAUGGAUCCGCGCCGCAUUAGCUAGUUGGUAAGGUAACGGCUUACGAAGGCAACGAUGCGUAGCCGACCUGAUAGGGUGAUCGGCCACACUGGAACUGAGACACGGUCCAGACUCCUACGGGAGGCAGCAGUAGGGAAUCUUACGCAAUGGGCGAGAGCCUGACGGAGCAACGCCGCGUGAGUGAUGAAGGUCUUCGGAUCGUAAAGCUCUGUUAUUAGGGAAGAACAAAUGUGUAAGUAACUAUGCACGUCUUGACGGUACCUAAUCAGAAAGCCACGGCUAACUACGUG
rnacentral:rRNA from 1 species